rnacentral:rRNA from 1 species
CAAAAAUGCACAUAUUGUGAGCUCGAUGAGUAGGGCGGGACACGUGGUAUCCUGUCUGAAUAUGGGGGGACCAUCCUCCAAGGCUAAAUACUCCUGACUGACCGAUAGUGAACCAGUACCGUGAGGGAAAGGCGAAAAGAACCCCGGCGAGGGGAGUGAAAAAGAACCUGAAACCGUGUACGUACAAGCAGUGGGAGCCUCUUAAUGGGGUGACUGCGUACCUUUUGUAUAAUGGGUCAGCGACUUAUAUUCUGUAGCAAGGUUAACCGAAUAGGGGAGCCGAAGGGAAACCGAGUCUUAACUGGGCGUUAAGUUGCAGGGUAUAGACCCGAAACCCGGUGAUCUAGCCAUGGGCAGGUUGAAGGUUGGGUAACACUAACUGGAGGACCGAACCGACUAAUGUUGAAAAAUUAGCGGAUGACUUGUGGCUGGGGGUGAAAGGCCAAUCAAACCGGGAGAUAGCUGGUUCUCCCCGAAAGCUAUUUAGGUAGCGCCUCGUGAAUUCAUCUCCGGGGGUAGAGCACUGUUUCGGCAAGGGGGUCAUCCCGACUUACCAACCCGAUGCAAACUGCGAAUACCGGAGAAUGUUAUCACGGGAGACACACGGCGGGUGCUAACGUCCGUCGUGAAGAGGGAAACAACCCAGACCGCCAGCUAAGGUCCCAAAGUCAUGGUUAAGUGGGAAACGAUGUGGGAAGGCCCAGACAGCCAGGAUGUUGGCUUAGAAGCAGCCAUCAUUUAAAGAAAGCGUAAUAGCUCACUGGUCGAGUCGGCCUGCGCGGAAGAUGUAACGGGGCUAAACCAUGCACCGAAGCUGCGGCAGCGACACUAUGUGUUGUUGGGUAGGGGAGCGUUCUGUAAGCCUGUGAAGGUGUACUGUGAGGUAUGCUGGAGGUAUCAGAAGUGCGAAUGCUGACAUAAGUAACGAUAAAGCGGGUGAAAAGCCCGCUCGCCGGAAGACCAAGGGUUCCUGUCCAACGUUAAUCGGGGCAGGGUGAGUCGACCCCUAAGGCGAGGCCGAAAGGCGUAGUCGAUGGGAAACAGGUUAAUAUUCCUGUACUUGGUGUUACUGCGAAGGGGGGACGGAGAAGGCUAUGUUGGCCGGGCGACGGUUGUCCCGGUUUAAGCGUGUAGGCUGGUUUUCCAGGCAAAUCCGGAAAAUCAAGGCUGAGGCGUGAUGACGAGGCACUACGGUGCUGAAGCGACAAAUGCCCUGCUUCCAGGAAAAGCCUCUAAGCAUCAGGUAACAUCAAAUCGUACCCCAAACCGACACAGGUGGUCAGGUAGAGAAUACCAAGGCGCUUGAGAGAACUCGGGUGAAGGAACUAGGCAAAAUGGUGCCGUAACUUCGGGAGAAGGCACGCUGAUAUGUAGGUGAAGCGACUUGCUCGUGGAGCUGAAAUCAGUCGAAGAUACCAGCUGGCUGCAACUGUUUAUUAAAAACACAGCACUGUGCAAACACGAAAGUGGACGUAUACGGUGUGACGCCUGCCCGGUGCCGGAAGGUUAAUUGAUGGGGUUAGCGGUAACGCGAAGCUCUUGAUCGAAGCCCCGGUAAACGGCGGCCGUAACUAUAACGGUCCUAAGGUAGCGAAAUUCCUUGUCGGGUAAGUUCCGACCUGCACGAAUGGCGUAAUGAUGGCCAGGCUGUCUCCACCCGAGACUCAGUGAAAUUGAACUCGCUGUGAAGAUGCAGUGUACCCGCGGCAAGACGGAAAGACCCCGUGAACCUUUAC